GGGGGCGACCUGGCUUCGACGUGGGUUGCAAAACCGGAAGUGCAUGCCGAGAAUGAGAACUCUCGUAAAUCAGACUCACUAAAUAUAAAUGCAAACGAAGAAAACUUCGAUGGCGUAGCUAAUCUUGAAGGAGUAGCGCAAGCUGCUUAAUCUUUUUUAGUUAAACCAUAACGUGUACUGGCUUUAACCCCAGUGCCCCGUUGACCGAGCUCGCUUAUCGGUAUCGAAUCAACGGUCAUAGAAGAUAAGCUAGUGUCCUAAUCUAUCCCGGGUUACGAUGCGAAACUCAGGGAGUAGCUGUGUACCAUCCUGCCUGUCGGAGAGUCCACAGUUAAAUCAAAUGACAAGGCUACGCAUGUAGAGCUGAAGGCAGAGGAUUUGCGGACGCGGGUUCGAUUCCCGCCGCCUCCACCA
rnacentral:tmRNA from 1 species